GCUUAGAAGCAGCCAUUCAUUUAAAGAGUGCGUAACAGCUCACUAGUCAAGAGAUCUUGCGUGGAAAAUGUAACGGGGCUAAACGUAAUACCGAAGACAUGGGUCUAUGCAUUAGCAUGGGCGGUAGAGGAGCGUUCCUAUCGGCAGUGAAGCAGUAUUGUAAAGUGCUGUGGAGCGGUAGGAAGUGAGAAUGCUGGAAUGAGUAACCAUAAGAGAGGUGAGAAUCCUCUCGGCCGUAAGAGCAAGGUUUCCUGAGCUAUGGUAAUCAUCUCAGGGUUAGUCGGGCCUAAGCCGAGGCGCAUAGCGUAGGCGAUGGACAUCAGGUUGAUAUUCCUGAACCGGCGUAGUUUGUACACUGUUCACGGAGAGAUAUUCAGAGCGGAUUCAUGGUUUAUCCGUCCAACCGAGCGGGAACGCAAAGGGAGUGAAAGUUACUCUGCGGAGUGAUGAUUCUGGAAAAGGCUCUGGCUAGAAAAGCAGGUGUACGCGUGGCUAUGUCCGCCCGUACCGCAAACCAACACAGGUGCUCGAGUCGAGUAGACUCAGGCUUACGAGUGAACCUUCGCUAAGGAACUCGGCAAUACAGCGACCGUAACUUCGGAAUAAGGUCUGCCCCCACUUCGGUGGAUAUGUUGUCGGUUUCAAAGCUAGCAGGUGUGGUUGAAGAGUAUCUUUAAUACAUCAAUUCUUCUUGAGAUAGAACCAAUAGCUUUUGGAACUGAAGCUCAACGCAUCUAGCGAUGUGGGGGCCGCAGCAAAAGAGCCCACGGAACUGUUUAUCAAAAACACAGCUCUCUGCUAACACGAAAGUGGAUGUAUAGGGGGUGACUCCUGCCCGGUGCUGGAAGGUUAAGGGGAGUGCUUCACGGUACGAACUGAAGCCCCAGUGAACGGCGGCGGUAACUAUAACCGUCCUAAGGUAGCGAAAUUCCUUGUCAGGUAAGUUCUGACCCGCACGAAUGGAGUAAUCAUGUGGGCACUGUCUCAGCGAAGGACUCGGUGAAAGUGCAUUGGCGGUAAAGAUGCCGUCUGUCCAUACCAGGACGAGAAGACCCCAUGGAGCUUUACUACAGCUUUACAUUGAUCCAGGUUUCAGCAUGUGUAGCAUAGUUGGGAGACUUUGAAACAGAUACGCUAGUAUUUGCGGAGUCGCAAUGUGAAAUACCAACCUUGCUGUGAUCUUGAUCUCACUUGUGCCGUUAUCCGGUACAAGGACCGUGUAUGGUGGGUAGUUUAACUGGGGCGGUUGCCUCCUAAAGAGUAGCGGAGGCGUUCAAAGGUUGGCUAACUUCGGAUGGAAAUCGAAGUGAUAGUGUAUGCGCAUAAGCCAGCUUGACUGUGAGGAGUACAUUCCAAUCAGAGACGAAAGUCGGAGCAAGUGACCCGCUGUACGAACAUUUGUUCAUUGAAUGUGGGAUCGACAGCGCACACGGAUAAAAGUUACCCUGGGGAUAACAGGCUUAUAGCGCCCAAUAGUUCACAUAGACGGCGCUGUUUGGCACCUCGAUGUCGGCUCAUCACAUCCUGGAGGGGGAGCACCUUCCAAGGGUCCGGCUGUUCGCCGGUUAAAGUGGUACGCGAGCUGGGUUCAGAACGUCGUGAGACAGUUCGGUUUAUAUCCGGUAUGGACGUUAGGAAUUUUGAGAGGAUCUGCCCCUAGUACGAGAGGACCGGGGUGGACGAAUCUCUAGUGUAUCGGUUGUGGCCACCUGCUGCAUCGCCGAGUAGCUAUGUUCGGAAGAGAUAAGCGCUGAAAGCAUAUUAAGCGCGAAGCCCACUCCAAGAUUAGAAUUCCCUAUGAGAUCCCAGAGAGAAGAUCUGGUUGAUAGGCGCAAGAUGGAAGUAUCGCAAGGUAUGGAGUCGAAGCGUACUAAUAGAUCCAUCGCCUUUUUAUG
rnacentral:rRNA from 1 species